rnacentral:rRNA from 1 species
GGAAUUAAAUGGCCGCAGUAUUUUGACUGUGCUAAGGUAGCAUAAUCAUUAGUUUUUUAAUUGAAAGCUGGAAUGAAGGGUUGGAUGAAGAAAAGACUAUUUUUAUUUAAUUAUAUUAAAAUUUUAUUUUUAAGUUAAAAAGCUUAAAUUUUAUUAAAAGACGAGAAGACCCUAUAGAGUUUAAUAUAAAUUAGAUUUAAUAAAAUUAGGAUUUAUUUUUUUAUUUUAAAUUUAUAUUUAAUUGGGGUGAUUGAAAAAUUUAUUUAACUUUUUUUUUAUUUUAAUACUAAUAAGUAAUUUUUUGAUCCAAUNAUUUUUGAUUAUAAGAUAAAAUUACCUUAGGGAUAACAGCGUAAUUUUAUUAGAGAGUUCAAAUCGAUAAUAAAGAUUGCGACCUCGAUGUUGGAUUAAAAUUUAUAAUUGGUGUAGAAGC